rnacentral:rRNA from 1 species
UACGUAGGGACCUAGCGUUGUCCGGAAUCAUUGGGCGUAAAGCGCGCGUAGGCGGCCCGGUAAGUCCGUUGUAAAAGUCGAAGGCUCAACCUUCGAAAGCCGAUGGAUACUGCCGGGCUAGAGUACGGAAGAGGCGAGUAGAAUUCCUGGUGUAGCGGUGGAAUGCGCAGAUAUCGGGAGGAACACCAGUAGCGAAGGCGGCUCGCUGGGCCGUUCCUGACGCUGAGACGCGAAAGCUAGGGGAGCGAACAGG